rnacentral:rRNA from 1 species
GACGAACGCUGGCGGCGUGCCUAAUACAUGCAAGUCGAGCGGAAGUUGGAGAGCUUGCUCUUCAACUUUAGCGGCGGACGGGUGAGUAACACGUGGGCAACCUGCCCUGCAGAUCGGGAUAACUCCGGGAAACCGGUGCUAAUACCGAAUAGUUUUCGCCACCUCCUGGUGGCGUACGGAAAGACGGUUUCGGCUGUCACUGCAGGACGGGCCCGCGGCGCAUUAGCUAGUUGGUGGGGUAACGGCCCACCCAGGCGACGAUGCGUAGCCGACCUGAGAGGGUGAUCGGCCACACUGGGACUGGGACACGGCCCAGACGCCUACGGGAGGCAGCAGUAGGGAAUCUUCCGCAAUGGACGAAAGUCUGACGGAGCAACGCCGCGUGAGUGACGAAGGUUUUCGGAUCGUAAAACUCUGUUGUGAGGGAAGAACAAGUACCAAUUAACUACUGGUACCUUGACGGUACCUCACCAGAAAGCCACGGCUAACUACGUGCCAGCAGCCGCAGUAACAC